CGCUAUCCGGGGCCCAGCAAGUGUCGGCAGGAGCAUCCGAUCAAACCAGGAUGGGAGAGACACAGACCACGAGAAAGGGCUGUGAGGGCGACCCGCCGUACCCUGCCCUGGAGUCAGUGACGCUUACUGCCUCAGAGAACUCAGGAAUGGGAGCUCUCAUUUGGUUUACAGACUUCGGUGUCUGCAUACUACUCUGCCUCCUGGCUUCUUACACAAACCUGUACUUUCCUGAGAGAGAAUACUUCUUAGAAGAUCCAGACUAUACUCCAAACUUCCUGGCUUCAUAAAUCAUGGCUGUGUACGAGUUCCUGUCAUGGCACAGCAGAAACGAAUCCGACUAGGAACCAUGAGGUUGCGGGUUCAAUCCUGGCCUCGCUCAGUAGGUUAAGGAUCUGGUGUUGCCAUAAGCUGUAUUGUAGGUCGCAGAUGUGGUUCAGCUGUGGCAUAGGCCGGCGGCAACAGCUCCAAUUAGAUCUCUAGCCUGGGAACCUCCAUAUGCCACGGGUGCAUCCCUAUAAGGACAAUCAAUCAAUCAAUCAAUCAUGGCUGUGAAGAAGAACUUGAGUAAACUUGGACCUAUUUUACAAACCCAUUUAAUUCUGCUAAUGAUGAAGAAUAAAUCAAAUGUGAUGUCAGCAUUUCUAACCUGACCUGGAAUAACUCAGAAAACCCAAUGAACACUGAUAACCAGGCUGAUGGACAGACUUUGGCUGGGCCUUCCCAUGCAUUCUUAUCUGCUCCCUCAACCUCUGGGAUGGAGCUCCUGAAGCUUGGAUCCCUGAAUUGACUGACUCUGCUGCCUGGGAUGAUGAGAGCCUCUCUGCCUGUGUUAUGAUGGUCUUCACUGUGUUUCCUCCUGUGUUUGAAUCAUCUUUGUAUCUGGUGCUCAUCUAGGCUCUACAAGGAUCCAUGUUUCAGCUGUGCCACUUCCCAAAUGGGAUCUUAGCAACUGACUUAGGCUCACAAAGCCUCCAUUUCCUAGCCUGCAAAGUUAGAAUAAUAGUAGUUCUCAUUGUAGCUCAGUAGGUUCAGAAUCCAACAUGUGUCCAUGAGGAUGCAAAUUCAAUCCCUGGCCUCUAUCAGGGGGUUAAAGAUCCAACAUCACCACAAGCCACGGCAUAGGUCGAAGAUAAGGCUUGCUGUGGCGUAGGCCAGCAGCUACAGCUCCAAUUCAACCUGUAGCCCUGGGAACUUCCAUAUGCCACGGGUGCAGACAUUAAAAAAAAAAAAAAAAAGGUUAUAAUAUUAGCCUCUCUUAACUGGGUGGGGGUGUGUGUUUGGUUGUGAGAGUGGAGUGGCUAAUGUAAGUAAAACAUACCAACAAGUGCCUGGCAUACACAUGACCAACUUUUUUUUUUCUUCUUUUUUUAGAGCCACACCCACAGCAAAUGGAAGUUUCCAGGCUAGGGGUUGAAUCAGAGCUGCAGCUGCUGGCCUACACCACAGCCACGGCCAUGCCAGAUCCGAGCCAUGUCUGCAACCUACACCACAGUAUAUGUCAACACCAGAUCCUUAACCUACUGAGCAAGGCCAGGGAUUGAACCUGCAUCUUCAUGGAUAUUAGUCAGAUUCAUUUGCACUGAGCCACGACAGGAACUCUGUCACAUGAUCAACUUUAUUAUUAAUUGGUUCUCUGGUGGGUGAUCUUGAGGUAGGAGGUAGAUGAGCCCCUGGGCUGAAAACAGCUGGGACUUGUUAAGCCAAGUAGAUUGGGCCUUGCCUCUCUAACACCUCAAGAAGAAAGUUAAGAGCUGGAGCUGAGCUCUACUAGAGUAGAAAGAUAAGAUUGACCACUUCAUUCGAUCCUGGUGUCAAGAAGAGCUCCCCAAUAACCCAUGCACAGUAAGACCCCUAAGGAUCAAAAAAAGGAGGGGGCACCAGACCAUAAUUAAGCCCUGAUACUGUCCCAGCAUCCCUUGCUCUGGAAUCCGUCUUUGCCAAAAGAUGUACAUGCAUUAAGGGGAGGGGCCUGUGUCCAGUCAGGUGUGAGAAAUAAAACAAGAUAUAUGGCCAAAGGUAAACAAACACCCAGGAGUACUGUCCUGUAUAAGUGAGUUAAAUCACCUCUCUAGUGCACUGCUCACUCGGGGACAGCCGCGCCUGCACUCCCCUUCAGGUGUGUAUUAUUUCUUUGCUUCUGACUUAAAUAAAAACUACUUCUCUGUGUGCUCUCCCACAUGUUGUACAAUAAACUUUAUACCUGUUUUCACAAUCUAUGCCUCUUUGAAACAUUCUUGCUGUCAACAGUGGCCAAGAAUUACAGCAACUCUGCUCUCAGCCUCUAGCUAGUCUUAGUGGCUAGGAUUCCUGUUUUUUAUCCAGGCUGUCCAGGUUCAAUUCCUGAGCAGAGAAUUGAGAUCUCAAUUCAAGCCAUCACUCACUGCUGUCUGUUGGAGAUCACUCUGGGAUUUGGGUUUUUUUCUGCCACAUCUUCUCUCCCGGAAAAGCAUGUAUACAGGCACUAUGGGCAGGCCAGUGACCUGACCUUGGCCCAACCUUGGCCAUUUUGGUUCACGGAUACCAGUCAGUGUGGGCUGAGCCACUUGAAAGCAGGGUAGAGAAGGAUGUUUUUUAUCUGUUUUGGUAGAUGCUAUAGGAGCUGUGGCUUUGCACAGAUUUAAGUCAACCUGCCCCUGGUUCCAAUGGGGAUAAUUAGCCCUACCCAGCCAGUGGGCCUGGGGAGUUGCCCUCCUCGGAGUGAAUUCCUGGCUGUUAGCAGACCUCCAGGGUCUCUGCUGUCUUGGUGACAAAGGACACAGUACAGUGGACCCAGGAGGACCUGGAAGUUUGGGUUAAUGGUACCCCAAUCUUCCUUUCAAAAUCUCAGUUUCUCAGUUUUGAGAAACAUCCCCAGGAUGUUCACUAGGCUUGACUUCAUGACAAGUGAAUGAGCAAACCUCUCAGCUGUGUGAUAUGUCUGGUGCCAUUCCCUCCUGGGUCCAGCUACUGCCCAGCCAGGGACAAGAUAGACUUGGAGACCCUGAGGAAGUUUCCCAGCCCCCUAAACUUCACUUGCCAAAGAUAUUUUCUUCCACUUCAGUGUGACAUAUGACACAUGGCAGUCAUUUUGCAGAAAGACCAGAUGGGAGGAGAAUUGGUUCACAUGCCAAAAUAGAGCUGAUGGAUGGACACAUGUCCACUUACUUAUCCAGUCUGUGCUCUCACUUACAAAAGAUUGGCGGGUGGGGAGUUCCUGUCGUGGCACAGCAGAAAAGAAUCUGACAAGGAACCAUGAGGUUUUGGGUUCGAUCCCUGGCCUUGUUCAGUGGGUUAAGGAUCCAGCAUUGCUGUGAACUGUGGUGUAGGUCGCAGAUGCAGCUCAGAUCCUGUGUUGCUGUGGCUGUGGUGUAGGCUGGCAGCUACAGCUCCAAUUUGACCCCUAGCCUGGGAACCUCUACAUGCCAUGGGUGCAGCCCUAAAAAGCAAAAAAACAAAAACAAAAACAAAACAAAACAAAAAACGGAGGAAAAAUGAAAUGGGGGGAGGUUAAUACAUCCACAUAGGAAAAGGCCCAGUCAGAGCCAGCC
rnacentral:lncRNA from 1 species